UCGAUGUCCCAUAGAAAGGCACCCUCCCCUUUGGCGAGAACCACCGGCAAGGGCUUGAAAUGUAUCCCUCCGUACUUCUCGUCCCGAUUUAUAAUUUCCUGACUACUCAGGAGCCUCUUCACCUCCGCCUCCCUCAUUACGGGUCGAAGAGGUCGAUGGAACGAGGUGGAGAUCUUCAUCAAGCGACUUUUAAUAAAUAUCUGAUGGAAAGAUCCCUGAUUGCUUUUAUUUAUACCGUGGAGGUACGGACCGGCAUUGUUUGCUCUCUUUGUUUUUGUACACAAGACGUAUCAAGCCAUGACAACAAUAAACGUCUUCUGCAACAAGUCUGAAAGCUUGGGAUGACAAACUCCUCUGAGCCACUGCAAACGCCACAUGGCAAAUAAACCUCGGCGGUAUUUACCUGCAGCGAUUACUGUCGAUUAUUAAUUUCACUUAACAAAAUUCCUCCACUGACGAAAAUCUCACCGUGACUAAGAGCACACUUUGGUUUUCGUUAACACAGCGAUUAAAUUCUAUGUUUCCCUGGAUACGUCCCUGGGGUCACUUUUGCAGGCUUAACUUCUAUUUGACGAUUCCCUCGACUGUUGGAGAUAUGCAUUUCGCUUUGCUUAUAGUAAACAAAGAUAAUUCACGGCUCCCUUUGCAGUCGAAGAAAGUCACCUAAAGAUACGGACACUGGCGCCGAGGUUUCCUAAAUUUACCGAUUGUGCAAUCUACAACGUUAUCAAUCGUGUGGCGAGAUAUCAAUGAAUCGACUGAACCGACAUUUUAUCGGAGAGGUGAUAUCCGAAGUGAAAAUUAUCAGGCAAUUGGAUGACAGCAUGU